UGUCUGAAAGAAAAUAUGGUGUGUCUAAACUGGAAAAGUCCUGUAAUAGUUUGUUCAUGAGCAUUUACACAAUGGAGUUGCUGUUUCAUCAUGGGGGUACUGUGGACAAGCCCAGGGUUGCUGUAGAGACAGAGUUUUUUGUCUUGUAGGCCAGGCUGGUCUCGAGCUCCUGACCUCAAGUGAUCCACCUGCCUCCCAAAGUGCUGGGAUUACAGGCACAUGAACUUAUGAAUUUAAGACAUGAAGAUUUACAGCUUGAUAAACCAGCUUCAGGAGACAUGAACUUAUGAACUCAACACAUGAAGAUUUACAGCUUGACAAACGGCUGCUGUAAAAUAUUACAGGCAU
rnacentral:sRNA from 1 species